UUACACAUGCAAGUCGAACGGUAACAGGUCUUCGGAUGCUGACGAGUGGCGAACGGGUGAGUAAUACAUCGGAACGUGCCCGAGAGUGGGGGAUAACGAAGCGAAAGCUUUGCUAAUACCGCAUACGAUCUCAGGAUGAAAGCAGGGGACCGCAAGGCCUUGCGCUCACGGAGCGGCCGAUGGCAGAUUAGGUAGUUGGUGGGAUAAAAGCUUACCAAGCCGACGAUCUGUAGCUGGUCUGAGAGGACGACCAGCCACACUGGGACUGAGACACGGCCCAGACUCCUACGGGAGGCAGCAGUGGGGAAUUUUGGACAAUGGGCGCAAGCCUGAUCCAGCCAUGCCGCGUGCAGGAUGAAGGCCUUCGGGUUGUAAACUGCUUUUGUACGGAACGAAAAGACUCUGGUUAAUACCUGGGGUCCAUGACGGUACCGUAAGAAUAAGCACCGGCUAACUACGUGCCAGCAGCCGCGGUAAUACGUAGGGUGCGAGCGUUAAUCGGAAUUACUGGGCGUAAAGCGUGCGCAGGCGGUUAUGUAAGACAGAUGUGAAAUCCCCGGGCUCAACCUGGGAACUGCAUUUGUGACUGCAUAGCUAGAGUACGGCAGAGGGGGAUGGAAUUCCGCGUGUAGCAGUGAAAUGCGUAGAUAUGCGGAGGAACACCGAUGGCGAAGGCAAUCCCCUGGGCUGUAUGACGCUCAUGC
rnacentral:rRNA from 1 species